AGGCUGACUUCCUCUGGCUUUAACUGCUUCUUUCUGCUCACCUAUGAUGAGUUGAAGUACUUGGCUGAACUGGAAGCUCAUGAAGUUAAUCCUAGAGUCUGUCUUUGGGCAGCCAGGAUGCAUUUGCCACAAAUAUCAAGAUGAAGCCUGCUUCACUUCUCUGCCAGCUCUGAGAUCUAAGUGACAGUGCAAAUACCCUCCCUUUCAGUGUUGGAGUGAUCUCAGUGUGGGAUAGUUAAACAGCAUGGUGAUGCUGAAAACCUGUGCCCUUAGAAGCUCAUAAGGCGCUGACAAACUUACUGGGACUGUGGUGGAGCCAAGGUCAGAAUGAAAAGACAAAAUCCAUGCAAUAAGAGAUGAGUUCCUGGGGCUGUUCCUUUAUGUGCAGAUUGCAAAGCUUUUUUCUAGGUGUAGCUCUGGGGAUUUAUAUACAGAAGGCUUGUAAUUUUCUUUCUUUUCUUUUGCUUCUGCCCGAAUCUUUGUGAGCUUCACACUCAAAUGAAAACCUUAGCAGUACAGAAUGGAUUAAUAUGGGAUCAGAAGAAGAAGAUUAUAUUUCUACAUCCUCUUACCUCUAUUUUUAAAAGGUCUAUCCCAAUAUUACAUUGCAUGUGUUCAACAUGAUUCCUUUAUGCAGACCCAGAUGAUAUAUGUAACUGGCAAAGCAAUUUUUAGAGGUAACUGAGAUUUAUAAAGAGUUCUAAGAGUUACUUAACCUUAUAAAGAAUAUUAACAAGACUUUCCAUUAAAACUCUGGAAUGAUUCAGUAUUAAAAUGUGUCCUUGUCUAGUGCACACUUUGUAUUUGGCUUUUGAGAUCCAGUAUUACCUGAUAUUGUAUUUAUUUUGCCUUUCCUCCUUCAGAUGCAUUGAUGUCCUCUGUCAUUCUUGUGUGAUAGAAAUUCCAGCACAAAAUAUCACUGACUUUCCAUGCUCCAUUCAUUCUAAGAAUAGUGUUUCUGUGAUCUGUGAGCAGAUCACACGUGGUGAUCUGAAAAGUUGUUCUGCUCCUGCUGAAGUCAGUUGAAAAAUAUCAAAUAGGAGUCAAACAGGCUCCUGUACACUCUUUAACCCUUUAACCUAAAAUACAAAUGGAAAAAAGAUUCCAAUGUUCUUAAUAGGGACUUUCUGAAAAUUUAGGCUUCCAGAAAACACGAUGAAAUGUGGAAACACUUCCAAUAUUUCUGCAUUUUGCAACUUGUGUGAAGAUAAUAGACAUUGAAUUCUGUUUUUCACCUGAGACAUGCAAUAAAUUACAUAGCAGAAGUGGCUGUGUUGCAGUUUUGUUAGAUUACUUUCUGUCUACAAGAAACUUGGCUGAGACCCCUGCCCUUUUUUGCUUGUGCUGCACUGCCAAUCCAACCACUGGUAUCCAAAAGUGAAAGGCUGCUGCCCUGAAAUACAGCCUUGUGUUGGGGGGUGAGCAGAACUGAAGUGAAAAGAGUAGGCUAACUGCACAGACUUAAGUCAUUCUGAUAAGGAGGCACAGCUGCAGAAAAGUGGCCUUGGGAGGCUGGCAGAGAAGCUGCUCUCUGUAGCAGAGCUGUGCGAGGAGGGCAGGCUGGUCAGCCCUGGGACCAAGCAGUGUUGUGGCUAAGGUGCUGCAAAGGGGGAUUAAGGUGGGUAGUUGGUCAGGUCUGCCUCUGUGCGUGUGGACAGCCCAUUUCUGCCUAUGUAAGCCUGUCAAAAGUACA